UCUGCUCCAUGAUUAGUAAAUAGCCGCAGUACUCUGACUGUGCAAAGGUAGCAUAAUCAGUUGGCUUUUAAUUAGAGUCUGGAAUGAAUGAAAACAUGUGUGGAAACUGUCUUAAUGUAUUUUUUUGAAUUUAAUAAGUGCGUGAAAAUGCUAACAAGAAUACAAAAGACGAGAAGACCCUAGAAACUUGAAUUAUUUUUUGUUGGGGCGACAAAAUUACAUUUAACUGAUUUUUUAAUACUUGACGUAAUAAUGAAAGACUAAGUUACUCUAGGGAUAACAGCAUAAUUUAAAUAGUUUGUGACCUCGAUGUUGGACUAGGUUUUAUACUCUUUAGGCAAGAGUAUAAAAUGCUCUGUUCGAGCAACUACACCUACAU
rnacentral:rRNA from 1 species